UACGUAGGGUGCGAGCGUUAAUCGGAAUUACUGGGCGUAAAGCGUGCGCAGGCGGUUUUGUAAGCCAGAUGUGAAAUCCCCGGGCUUAACCUGGGAAUGGCAUUUGGGACUGCAAGGCUCGAGUGCGGCAGAGGAGACUGGAAUUCCGCGUGUAGCAGUGAAAUGCGUAGAUAUCGGGAGGAAUACCAGUGGCGAAGGCGGCUUCUUGGCCUGUUCUUGACGCUGAGGCGCGAAAGCUGGGGGAGCAAACGGG
rnacentral:rRNA from 1 species